UUGCCGAAGGAACGGCCCGCGUCCGAUUAGCUAGUUGGUGAGGUAAUGGCUCACCAAGGCGACGAUCGGUAGCUGGUCUGAGAGGAUGACCAGCCUCGCUGGGACUGAGACACGGCCCAG
rnacentral:rRNA from 1 species